UACGGAGGGUGCAAGCGUUAUCCGGAUUUAUUGGGUUUAAAGGGUCCGCAGGCGGACUUGUAAGUCAGGGGUGAAAGCCGGCAGCUCAACUGUCGAACUGCCUUUGAUACUGCAAGUCUUGAGUGAGGUUGAAGUAGCUGGAAUGAGUAGUGUAGCGGUGAAAUGCAUAGAUAUUACUCAGAACACCAAUUGCGAAGGCAGGUUACUAAGUCUUAACUGACGCUGAGGGACGAAAGCGUGGGGAGCGAACAGG
rnacentral:misc_RNA from 1 species